UACGUAGGGAGCAAGCGUUGUCCGGAAUCAUUGGGCGUAAAGCGCGCGUAGGUGGCCUCAUAAGUCCGUUGUGAAAGUCAAAGGCUCAACCUUCGAAAGCCGAUGGAUACUGUGAGACUAGAGUACGGAAGAGGCGAGUGGAAUUCCUGGUGUAGCGGUGGAAUGCGCAGAUAUCAGGAGGAACACCAAUAGCGAAGGCAGCUCGCUGGGACGUUACUGACACUGAGGCGCGAAAGCCAGGGGAGCAAACGGG
rnacentral:rRNA from 1 species